UAAAAGUCUUUAGUAGAAAGGUGUUUUUUUUAUCCUGUGGUCUUGAGAUACAUACCUGUUCUUAGCUCAUCCUCCUGAUCCUAGGACUGACACAGAGUAAAAUCUUUUUUCUGACAGCCCAGAUUCAAAUACUAAAAGAGGUGCUCCUCAUCACCUUCUGCUUCACAGGAGAACCCUGGGCACUCUUGGCUGCUGCCCUAGAGCCCAAAGGGAGGUGGGUUAGAUCAGGCUCCUUCCUAACAUUGUGGGGUGCUGCCAGACAGAUGCCUGGAGCAGCACCCAUGGAGGCCUGGGGUAGAGGAAGCCACUGGGCUGGGGUGCUCCAGAAGGCAUUUCUCUGCUGCUGUAAUGCAGGAGCCUUCACCAGGAAGGAGACCUCAAAAAUUCACAAUUCAUCCUGACUUUCAUGUAGGGCCCCAGUCUUAUUUCCAUUAUUUUAUACAUUUGUUUAAGUCCUGUGUGUGUUUAUCCCAGGCUUCUCUUUUCCAUCCUUACUCCCACCAUUCAUUCAGGAUAUGUUUCUUUGCUGUAGUGGUAUGAGAGCCAUCAUAGUUGGAGAUGUCUAGAACAGUUUCCCUACAAUUUUCCACUCUGACCAGCCCUAACCCUUGUUGGGAAACCUCAUUCCUUUCUCACCUGAGGUCCUAAGUACUUUCUACCUUUCUUCAUCCCUGAGGGUACCUAAAAUGUGUGAAGCUGCUUGGCCAUGUACAUCUGUUGCAUUAGACAUAUAAACCAUGUCUCCUAUGAUUUUAGGGAUAUUUAAAUAACUAAUUUUGUUAUUUCUUUCUUCUUCAGACAUUCUUUUACUUCCUCUGGGGAGUAAUUUUGUGCCUCCAGUUUCCCCAUGGAAAAACUUAUGCUAAAAUUAUUCUCCAUACAUCUGAUGCAUCGGUUCCCUGGCCAUCCGUGCCUGUGGCUGAGGACACUGCAGUGCGUUGCCAUGGAGAGGACUCAGACAGCAUUACUGGGUCAGCAGAAGAACGCCCACAGCUGAAAGCAAGUCUUUCUCUGAUGCAACAACUGUGGCAAUGAGAAGCCAUCCUCAGGUAAAAUAUAACAAGCCAGGCUAUGUAUUGCAAAUUCUGUUUCCCACACCUCCCUGUCCAGCCUUGGCUUAAUAAAGACAUGUAGAUGUCUUUAACUAAGUCCCGUAUCAAACAUGUGAGCACUGCAUAUUCAGCAUUUUCUUAGCAAACAGAUUCCCCUGGCACCAGGAAAAAUUUUAGCAAAGAAUGAGUCUGCAGCUCCACAGCAUCCUAAGAGGAAAACAGAUAACCAAGGUGAGAAAUCUAAUCCUUACAUCCCUCUUAUGGCAUGUGGAGAAAGAACUUAGUAUAAAUGGGCUUAAAAUUUACCUUGCAAAAUAUUAACCAGUGGUGGUGCAGCUGCUCCUCCUAACAGCUUUUAGACAUAUCUGCCAAAUUCAACCUUGACAGAGAGAAUGAGUUUUAGUGAUAAAUUUUGUGUGAAGAGGAAGCACACAGGUAAAAUUGUUGGCACUCUCUCUGGCACUGAAGGGCUCCAGUUUCAGCCCAGAUGCCAUUAAAGCCUAGACAAUCCACAUAAACAAGAAUUUCUGAAUGUGCAAAAUGUGUUCCAUUGUGUUCCAAAAUUCCUCCACAGGUCAGCCAAAAGAAACUGCUCUUUAGUCAGUGCUUCUCCUCCAUGUUGAUUGCUUUUUUAGUUCUCCUUAACCUGCAGCUCAGUUGCAAAAACACCAAAUAAGCCCCAUCUAAAAGGGCCAUACUUUUUACAUGUGACCAUUGGUUUAACUUCUGCUUCUACAGAAAUCCAGCAGUAGAACUCCUUCUCAAAUAAACAAAAGCAUAAGCAGACCCAAGAAAUACCUCAUGCCUCCAUCCAAACUGCUGACUUAAAUUUUCCAUGCUUCAAUUUUAAACUCAUAAAAUUCACUGAAUUUCAUGGACUUAGGACUUAAACCACUACAGAAAUAAAAAAUAUCCAUACACAGAUCAGUGUCUUUUGAAAAAAAAUAUUUUUCUCAGAUUGCACAUUCAAAACUUGAGCUGUACACUGCACAGUAGAGGAACACUAGUUUGCCAAUCCAAUUACCUUCAUGUAGGUUUGUGUUGAUUAGUUCAGCUGUAGCCCCAAGGUGUCAAACUCAGUCAGCAGCAAGAGAUGGACCCCAGGUGUAAUUACAGUCAGUGGCCAUGUCUCCUGGGCUGCAGAAUGUUCUCCGUCUGGAAAUGCCCUUGUCAGAGGGAGGUUUGGACAGUCUUCAGGUAGAUUGCAGUAGAGCUUUAGGGAAAACAUGCUCCUCCAGUUAGAGGCUGCCUGCUCAUUCACCCAUCACCAUUUGCCUUCUUUCCACUGUUUCCCACCUCUCCCCCUUGUCCCUCUGCUAAAUUAACCAAGCAGUGAAUUUCAACCCCAGUGCAACGACACAGGAAGCAAAACCCUUCAUAUAUGUGCUGGCAGGCUUUCUCUCCAGCCUCAAAGGCUACAAAUCAGAUGAAACACUGGCUAGGCUGGAGUCAUUGCAGGUUUUACCCUAACUCUAGUGCUGUCAGGGAGCAAGGGCAGUUUUGCAGUGGCUGGAUUAGAGCCACUGACCAUCUCUUUUCUAGGUCUUUGCAGGUACGAGGGCACACACAAAUCACUGAGGCACGGACAUCAUGUGAAGUCUGUGUUUUCUCAAGGACCUUGUCCAGUGUUAGAACAGGAUUUGUUUCACUGUUCUGAUUGCUGCUUUGAGGCUGAGGAUAAGGGAUAGCCUCCCUGCUGGAAACACUAAUGCAGCUGUCCUUUCCACAAUUACCAGAUUUGGGUGUUAAUGCUUUUCUCUAAGGGGUGUUUUACUUUAAUAACCACUCAAAUAAAUAAAUAAAUAAAUAAAUACAUAAAUACAUAAAUAAAUAUUACUUUGUAUUUUAUAAGCAACAUUUGUCCAAAGUCUUUGAAGUGCUUUGCCAAUCAGAGUCUUACUAUUUCCUGUGAGUCCCAGGAGCCCAACUCUGCUUCCGUUUAUAUCAAUAGGAGCAGGUCCAGCCUCUGAGGACUUGCCUGGCAUUACACAGUGAGCCAAUGACUGACAGAGCAAACACUGCUCAGGUGCCCUAAUUCCUACUUUCAUGCUGCCUGCCCUUAACACCACCAAUCAUACUUUGAUUCAAAGAUCAAAUCUUAUAAAAA